UACGGGGGGGGCAAGCGUUGUUCGGAAUUACUGGGCGUAAAGGGCUCGUAGGCGGCCAACUAAGUCGGAUGUGAAAUCCCCAGGCUCAACUUGGGAACUGCAUCCGAUACUGGAUGGCUUGAAUUCGGGAGAGGGAUGCAGAAUUCCAGGUGUAGCGGUGAAAUGCGUAGAUAUCUGGAGGAAUACCGGUGGCGAAGGCGGCAUCCUGGACCGACAUUGACGCUGAGGAGCGAAAGCUGGGGGAGCGAACGGG
rnacentral:rRNA from 1 species